rnacentral:lncRNA from 1 species
GACGAUGACCCCUUCUCAGAAUAUAGGAUACUCCCCAAAAAUCUUUUCUUUAUAAAACUUCUUAUUGAGACUUAUCAAGUCUAAAUCUUUUCUUUAUAGGACAUUAUGUAAAUGCUCAUAUUGGUGUCCUUAAAUGUAAAGCAUGACAUAAGAAUGAAAUAAAUAUAUAAAAAUAUUUUUAAAGAUUCUUUCUUCUUCAUAAUUUUUAACAUGAGAAUAGCAUAUAAGAAUAACACAAAAAUCUGAAAAUUUAAGCGCAUAUAACAUAAUAGAUCAUCUAAACUUUUGCUAGAACAAUUCUAAAUUAAUAGGUACUCACUUGCUCUAAUUAAAUAAAGAUAAUUUCUUUUAAGCAAUUCAUCAAACACUUUGUAUGCGUGCUUUUGUGAGUUAAACCACUUUAGUAAAGGGUUAUAUCAACUCACCUCAAAACUUCUCGAGCCAAUAAGUAGCCCCAGUCCAAUUGACUCCAGUCAAAAGGGUUAUAUCAACUCACCUCAAAAAUUAUCGAUCCAAUACGUAGACUCCAGUCCAAUUUAUUCCCGUCAAAUAAUUGAUUCUACAACAACC